UCCUGACUGACCGAUAGUGAACCAGUACCGUGAGGGAAAGGCGAAAAGAACCCCGGCGAGGGGAGUGAAAAAGAACCUGAAACCGUGUACGUACAAGCAGUGGGAGCACGCUUAGGCGUGUGACUGCGUACCUUUUGUAUAAUGGGUCAGCGACUUAUAUUCUGUAGCAAGGUUAACCGAAUAGGGGAGCCGAAGGGAAACCGAGUCUUAACUGGGCGUUAAGUUGCAGGGUAUAGACCCGAAACCCGGUGAUCUAGCCAUGGGCAGGUUGAAGGUUGGGUAACACUAACUGGAGGACCGAACCGACUAAUGUUGAAAAAUUAGCGGAUGACUUGUGGCUGGGGGUGAAAGGCCAAUCAAACCGGGAGAUAGCUGGUUCUCCCCGAAAGCUAUUUAGGUAGCGCCUCGUGAAUUCAUCUCCGGGGGUAGAGCACUGUUUCGGCAAGGGGGUCAUCCCGACUUACCAACCCGAUGCAAACUGCGAAUACCGGAGAAUGUUAUCACGGGAGACACACGGCGGGUGCUAACGUCCGUCGUGAAGAGGGAAACAACCCAG
rnacentral:rRNA from 1 species